rnacentral:rRNA from 1 species
UAGCCGCCAUCGGCGAGCCUGACGGAGCACGCCGCGUGAGGGAUGAAGGCCUCUGGGCUGUAAACCUCUUUUAUCAAGGAAGAAGAUCUGACGGUACUUGAUGAAUAAGCCACGGCUAAUUCCGUGCCAGCAGCCGCGGUAAUACGGGAGUGGCAAGCGUUAUCCGGAAUUAUUGGGCGUAAAGCGUCCGCAGGCGGCCUUGUAAGUCUGUCGUCAAAGCGUGGAGCUUAACUCCAUUUAAGCGAUGGAAACUGCAAGGCUAGAGUGUGGUAGGGGCAGAGGGAAUUCCCGGUGUAGCGGUGAAAUGCGUAGAUAUCGGGAAGAACACCAGUGGCGAAGGCGCUCUGCUGGGCCAUAACUGACGCUCAUGGACGAAAGCCAGGGGAGCGAAAGGGAUUAGAUACCCCUGUAGUCCUGGCCGUAAACGAUGAACACUAGGUGUCGGGGGAAUCGACCCCCUCGGUGUCGUAGCCAACGCGUUAAGUGUUCCGCCUGGGGAGUACGCACGCAAGUGUGAAACUCAAAGGAAUUGACGGGGGCCCGCACAAGCGGUGGAGUAUGUGGUUUAAUUCGAUGCAACGCGAAGAACCUUACCAGGGUUUGACAUCCUGCGAAUCCUUUGGAAACGAGGGAGUGCCUUCGGGAGCGCAGAGACAGGUGGUGCAUGGCUGUCGUCAGCUCGUGUCGUGAGAUGUUGGGUUAAGUCCCGCAACGAGCGCAACCCACGUCGUUAGUUGCCAGCAUUUAGUUGGGCACUCUAGCGAGACCGCCGGUGAUAAACCGGAGGAAGGUGUGGAUGACGUCAAGUCAUCAUGCCCCUUACAUCCUGGGCUACACACGUACUACAAUGCUACGGACAAAGGGCAGCAAACUCGCGAGAGCUAGCAAAUCCCAUAAACCGUGGCUCAGUUCAGAUCGUAGGCUGCAACUCGCCUACGUGAAGGAGGAAUCGCUAGUAAUCGCAGGUCAGCAUACUGCGGUGAAUACGUUCCCGGGCCUUGUACACACCGCCCGUCACGCCAUGGAAGUUGGCACGCCCGAAGCCGUUACUCCAACCCUUGUGAGAGGACGUCGAAGUGGGGGCUGAUGACUGGGUGAAGUCGUAACAAGUAGCGUACGAGUGCGCUGAUCACUCUAACAGAGACACUCAGACGUGAUGCUGACAAUGAAUGUAGCAGUGUCUGUCACUCUAGGUCGAUCGUACUCAGCUGAAUGAACCUGUAAGAAGCGAAGCAGAAGUUCAGCCCAGGUAAAACAA